ACUGAAAUAAUCCGUUUAUAGUUAAUGAUUAUUUAGCUUUUUAGUCAGUCAUUUAAAUAUCAUACGGUUUCCUAUUUAAUAAAAAAGAUAGGGUAUUUGAUAAAAAACACAUAGGCCUAAAAAUCAAAAGCAAAAUAAACAAAACCUUUCGUCAAAUAGGCUAUAUCUGGUGCUUCCCUUUGGCGUUCCUAAACAAUUAACAGUGAGUGCCUCGGGCAAGUGCUGAGCUACAGGAUGAGAAAUGGUGCACCUGUGUGCUGUCUAAAGAUAGGCUAGCAGUAGAGGGCCAGAGAGCAGACUCCAGAGGACCCAUCCGUCUCAAUCGAAGGCUGCAGCUGACACCUUACAAAGAGAAUGUCUUGAUGGACCGGGCUCUCUCAGUCCGUCCCCUCUCGCCUUGACGAGUUCCAGCAAAGCAGUUUAGCCUCUGAGGCCCGGGCUGUCAAUGCGGUGUGGCUCAAGUCGUGCCCCGCUGUCGAGACUGACAGUCUUCCAUUGUUCACCCAGCAUUGCCGCCCCACCAGUUUAAUGCCAGGCUAUCAAAGUUUGUCAUUGUUCUCCAGAGGCGAGCUGUCUGAAGCGGUAGAGUGCUGCUCGGAGAUGGCCUGGCUGGAUGACUGGGUUCUGGUGCCGGUCUGUCUCUGUGAGAACGGAGCUCAGGCUCUUCCCACGUGGUGGCCCCUGCCUAGCUUCCUGCACCCACAACCCCCCCAUCUCACCGCCAGGCCAGUGGGUGCCAGUGGCACCAGGGAUGCUGAGGUGGGGGGGUCGCUAAAGCCCUAGGAGCCUGCCAGGGUCAGGCCAGGGGAACGUCCCCUCUUCGGAUAGGGGUAAAAGUCACAUAGGGAGGUGGCUGGGUGGAAGCUUCGUAAUCCCUCGAUGCUGGCAUGGCAGCUGGAGCAGUUUGCUCGGCCCAUGUAAUGAUAUCGCUUGCACUGGAGAUGAUGUCUGACCUCAUUACCAGAGUUUAAUUGGAUUGUUACACAGUUUCACUUUUUCUUCUCUCUUGCCUCUCCCAAUUGCUUUCUUUCUCCCUCUCUGUUUCUCUCUUACCCUGUAUCUGACAGCUCUCUAAAAGCAUUCCUCAGUUGUUUUGAAAGCAAAUUAAUUAUUUCUCCAUGCCUUGUGUGUUUAUGCGGCUAGACAAUCUAGUCUCUAUCAUUAAGAUUAUAUCAGUGGUCCGAGCGAUGUCGCAAUUUCCAUUUGAUUUGUUUCUCCUACUUACCCUCAAAUGUAUGACAUAUUGCAGUUUUAAGUGUUACUUGUUAAAGAUAAAAUGUGCAAUUUUUUGUUAAAAUACACAAAUGUUUAUAUUACUUCUGUAGUCUGUAUAAUUAUCCUGACCAGCUCAACACAGCAACCAAUCGCAUGGACCAUCCAAAUACGGCAUGGUGUUCCGGAAACCUGUUCGGAAUCAAGCAGGUCUUUAAAUUAUACUAUGUAGUCUGGUUUUAUUAGAGCAAAUCAGUUCUGUACAGUCAGUAUCCAAGCAGAUUUUUUUUUUACCAGAAAAAGGCUUUCAAAAGGGCAUAAAGUCACUCAAUCACCCUAACCCUAACAUUUCAUUAUUAUUAUUCACUAUUACUGUUUGAUGAAAUGUAGAUUUAUUUCUGGUAAUUAGUCAUUUUAGGAGCUUAACAGCCAAUGUAUGUGUGCUGUUUAAGAUGUGUGCUCUAACAUUUUACUUUAAUCCUACAGAGAAUAGAAAACAAUACGGGUUUAAACAUGAUCAGGAGUGAGGCAAUUAUAUUGUUUUAUUUAUUUAAGAACUAUUGAUGUAACCUCAUGAAAGGUAUUUGAUUAAA